ACAUACAAUACUAAAUCGUUUCAUUAGUUACUUCACUUUUAAGUCUCAAAAUACACAUAUUCUUAUAGUUUGAGUGGAACAAGUGAUCAUAACACAACAUAACUUGUUUGACUUUUCUAGCACCCAUGUACAACCCACAUAGUGUCUACGGAGCCUCUAAAAGAUACAAAAGAGUGUGAUGAUAGUGCCGGCAACAAGGCCCCGGCUAUACCUCGAGACGUGAUAAUAAUAUGAACAAAAGAUACAAUACGUGGCCCCAGGAUGAAGUGGGGCUCACCAAGUUUGCUGGGAAGAGGAUGUAACACUAUCGCUGAUCAACACUGCCUGCUAUGGAACCACCUGCAUCCAUUUAUAGAUGCAGCGCCCCCGGCAAAAGGGACGUUAGUACUGUCGAAUAGUACUAUUAUGUAAAACUAAACAUCAUCUCAAUAGAAUGAAUAAUAAUACAAGGGGGAACAAUCAAUAAUUCAAUAAGAGCUUCAAAUAAUACUAAAACAUAAAGUUAAGGAUUACAUAAGUUUUCAAGUCAAUUUCCGUGUUAUUAGGUUGGGUGAUCUUUAGUGCCGAUAUACCCUAAUUCACAAUACCACCGUAUUCUUACACGGAGUCCGAUCAUGACACGAUCGGCUAGGUCGUCUCAUUUGAGACAUCAACCAUAACCACAAUUUCAAUUAUCAUUUCCAGCACAGUCAACACCAUGUGUAUGGCAUGUCAUCCGAUCAUGGCCCGAUCGGCUAGGCCAUCUCACCCAAGACAUUACAUUUUUCAAUCAAUCAUCUCACAUCAUACUUCUUUCAUAUCCAUUCGAUUCAUUGGCACUAGUGGCCACAAUUAUAAAGUCAUUCUUGGCACUUGGCCGUAUUUCAUAAAUCCAGUUCCCUUUUCCACAUUCAAACAUCAUUAUCAUUAUCAACAAUAAUAAUGCUUUCCAUUCAAGACAUUAAAUUAACAUACGAGUAAUUUGGGAAUCUUAGGCACAUAGAGGCUUUUCAUACAAGUUGGCUUAACAACCUUUAUUUCGUUCUUGACUUGAUGUCUUAACAUUCCUAAAACACAUUCCACAUUUUGAACACAUCCUCAAAUGGCAAGAUGAUAUGAUGAAGCAUUUAGAAUAAAUAUUGAACAUACAUCCUUCAACACAAACACAUUAGGAAUAGCAAAUUCUAUAAUAAUCAAUUUGGGACUUACACCAAUUACAUGAACACCGUGGGAUUCGAUUCUAAGAAGAAGGGGGUUUAGCCAAUAUACUUCAAUUGAUCUUCCUUUAAACUCUAAAACGUUCGUAUUUCUUAUCAUUUCGAUCUAUUUUAGAAAUAUAACAAGUUGGACCAAAGAUGGUCAUGAUUCUAGCUCAUUUGAGCACAUUAUCAAACACUAGAUGUGCAUUCAUAUUUUAAGGCCCUUUUAGGAAAGAUUCCAUCUUUCCCCCAACACAUUCUCUACCAUAUUUAGCUCACAACCUUCCCACAUACUUCAAGAAUACAUGCAUGCAAGAUAACAACCACCACACCCAAUAAUUGUCUUUCUAAUUAUCCCCUUUUUAGUAGAUUUUCGAAAUUAAGAGCUAGGACAUAGAUUCAUACCUUUAAGAUGAGGACUUUCUGGUAAAUGCAUGACUGUCCGACCGGCCGUAGCUCGAUGGUAAAUGUAUAACUGCCCAACUGACCGUAGCACGGUAGUAAAUACAUGAAGAUGCAUGUAUCACUGUAUUAUAAAUAUUAACGUCUUUAUCAUAUACCUCAAUAGAGACUUGUGAACGUACUUAGACAUAUUUGAAUAUAACUUUACAGGAAUGAAUAAUAUAGACAUCUUUAACUGCUAAGAGUAGAACCACUUAUGAAAUAGCAUUACGUUUACGUAUCAUUACUUGGAUCAUGCCAAAAGAAAGAAGGAUUAACCUUAACAUACCUUAAUUGCUUAUACGAGCUUGUAGAAUAUUGCUUCUUUAAAGCUUCCCUACACCAUACUUCAAUGGAGAUAAUUUGAGAAAAGGGACCUCCAAUUAAGAUACUAUUCUUCUUUGUUAAAAUAAAACGAAGAAAUAAGACUUCUGUUGGUACUUCAUUGAAUUGCAAAGAAGAGGAAUGUAAACUAUUGCUUAUUGAUUUAUAUAUAAAGAAGGUAAGAUAAGAUAAAGAUCUUAUGCAAAGUUUGUUAACUUUGGCGGUGGAACAUGAGUAAUUAGAUAAGGUGUAACGUUUUAAGGAAAGUUGGGCACGUGUAAGUUAUACAUAUCACAUUACUUCAUGUAGAGGUAAUGGAAUAUAUAAGNNNNNNNNNNNNNNGGAUAUAUAAGCGUACGGUAUAAAUAAUAAAUUCAUGUAUGAUAAUAAAAUUGGGAAUUAAAAGUCCUUGUCUCAUACUAAAGUACUACUAUUAAAAUAUUAAAAUAUUAAUAAAUCAUGGUACCAUAUAAAAUUAAUACAUACAUUAUUAUUUUACUAAAACAUUCAUGUAAAAAUACAUAUAUUUUUCCAACUUCUAAUUUUCCUAAUCUCAUAUAAAGAGUACAAAUUUUCGUACGCUUAAUUCUUAAUAUGGUAAAAAGAUAACCUUAUUUUCUUGUGAGAAAAUAAUUUCUAUCUUUACAAUAAAGAAAAUCUCAUCAACUUUAUUAUAUUCUAUGUAUAAUUUAAAGCAUAUUCGAAAGUAGUAAUUUAAUAACUAUAUAAAAUUAUAUUUUUAAAACCUUCUUUUACAAAAAUGUUCCAUUCAAAAUACCAUAUUAAAUGUAUAUAACGGUAUCAAGGUUGUUAAAUUCACGGGGUCUUACAAUAAUAUAAUCACAAAUCCCUUAUAACCUCAUGAAUGGUCUUAAUCCCUUCAAGCUCAUAUGGAUUACUACGACUCAUCCUAGUAUUAAAGUACGGGAUGUAACUUUCUUCCCCCCUUUAGAAAUAUUCGUCCUCGAAUGUUAACUCUUAGAGAUUUACAAAACUUUUGCUAGGGUCUCCUCUGCAAACUAAACUAAAAUCCAACCUCUAUAUGAAGUAUCGACUAUUCACAACCUUUUGUACUUGAGUAUCUCAUAUCUUCUUCACCUUUACCUUACUCACUUUUCAAUCUCGCAUCGUAUCUUCUGUUUCUUUCAUAAUCUCCCUUCAACAUAGGUGAAAAUUACGUCGUAAAGCUCUACUGUAAUACCUGCACCUCUGGUGCAUAAAAUAUCGGGUGAAAGCUUCAUACAGACUUCUUGUGACUCAGCUCUACGGCACGAUCUGGAAACAAAAGAAGGGUAACAUUUCCUAAAUGCCCUAUAGCCUCUCAAUUAUAAAUAUGGCGCGCAACACACCCAUAAGUGAGACUUUACUAGGCACGGCUUUGUAGACGUCCUAGGACAUGACCCGCUCUGAUACCACUUUGUCAUGCCCAAAACUUGAGGAGACGUGGCUGGCACCUGGUGCUGUGCUGGCCUGAGCGAACCACUCUGUAAAUCAUGAUCGUGCAACUAAAACUAAAACAUACAUAGGUCGAGUUAGCUGAACUCAUUCCUUUUGUAACUAUCUUGGGCCCACAUGGCCACAACUCAUAAUGUGCAACUGUAAGUAGAAAAAUAUUGUAUCAAUGAACCAUCGUUCUUAAAACAUGACUACAUAUGGGCCGUGAAGGCCUCUGACAUACUGUACCAAAUGAACCUCUUCUACAAAGCCUCUAAGAUUAUUUGACAUCAAAUGGGAUAGGAUAUCGGCCUACCCAUAAGUCUGUAGCAAAACUCUGACACGAUGACUUAUAGACUCGGCUGCACUCCGAAUGAGGUGGAGUCUUACCGAUCCUUCGCUGAAUGCUGACCUCGUAUUCUAUGAGGGCUCGUCAAACUGAUUAUCUAUACCUGCAGGCAUGAAUGCAGCGUCCCAAACAAAAGGAUGUCAGUACGAAUAAUAUACUGAGUAUGUAAGGCAGAACUGAAACAUAUCCAUAAGUCAACAUUAACUAAAGAGAUAUAAUAAUCAACCUGAAUCUCUGAAGUGCCACCGUAUAUGCAUACUUAGUAUACUUAUAUAUAUAAUUCUUCUCUUUGAGACUAGUAUCCAUACCGUAUGAUGAAUGACUACCCAACUAAUCAGUGGUAACUGCCCGACCGGCCAUAGCGCGGUGUUAAAUGCAUGACUGCCCGGUCGGCCGUAGUUCGGUGGUAAAUAUGUAACUGCCCAACCGACCGUAGCUCGGUGGUAAAUGCAUGACUGCCCGACCGGCCGUAGCUCGAUGGUAAAUGCAUGAAGAUGCAUGUAUCACUAUAUUAUAAAUAUUAACAUAUUUAUCAUAUACCUCACUAGAGACUUGUGAACUUACUUAGACAUACUUGAAUAUAACUUUACAGGAAUGAAUAACAUAGACAUCCUUAACUGCUAAGAGUAGAACCACUUAUGGAAUAGCAUUACGUUUACGUAUCGUUACUUGGAUCAUGCCAAAAGAAAGAAGGAUUAGCAUUAACAUACCUUAAUUGCUUAUACGAGCUUGUAGAAUAUUGCUUCUUUAAAGCUUCCCUACACCAUACUUCAAUGGAGAUAAUUUGAGAAAAGGGACCUCCAAUUAAGAUACUAUUCUUCUUUGUUAAAAUAAAACGAAGAAAUAAAACUUCUGUUGGUACUUCAUUGAAU
rnacentral:lncRNA from 1 species